ensembl:lncRNA
UGAGGUUUUUAAAAAAGGGAAAUUGAAAACAGCCGAACAUAAGGGCAUGGGAAAAGCCGGAAACAUAAACAUAUUGGGCUUGGGAAAAGUCUGAAACGUAACAUAUUGGGCUGGUAAAAUGCUUUAACUGUAAAGAUAUUGGGAACAGAAGAAACCUAAAACUCAUACAUAUUGGAAAAGGGCAAAUUAUGGGGCAGACACAAGUGAUAGCAAACUAUAUAUAAAGGAAGCCCGGACUAAAAGGAAUUCAGAUCACUUCGGGAUGUCUCACUGUAUGGAUCUCGUGUUGGUGAACAAUAAAACUUGGACCCUGCGUUUCUCACUUACGGUUCUUUGUGUAUUUCUUCAUCCACAAGCUGGUCUAGCUGAUGUGUGGUGUGGGACAAAAGGGGGGCAAUUCUUUCUGUUUUCAUGUGUUUUUCAGUAUCUCCUAACCAAAGGAAAUAACGAUGUGGUGAUGAAUAUGAUGGCGGCGCUCCUGACAGCAGUAAAGAUGCAAGAGUGCUAAUCAACAACGUCCAAUGGAUCCUUCAAAACUACUGUUUGCAUAUGUAUAUUCCUCAUUGUUUGCCAAUGCAUUAUGUUAUGCUGUACGUGUUCUUUAUUAAGAUGCUAAAUUGAGGAUCUUGAUCACUUUAGGAUUUUGUCUCUGGCUGUGAGGUUUCUUGGAUGCUUCUCUCCUAACCCAAGAAACAUAUUGUAGUACCAAAUUAUAAAAGAAACCCUACAAUAAAGUUUUGCCUAAUUGGAGGGAUCAGUAACCAGUGUGCAUGAGCUGAUGACCCAAUGACGGGUAAGAUUCUCCAGUGGAGAAUCACACCUGCAACAACAUCCGUACUGUGAGAACGGAAAGUGAUUACAUCAAAUGCUAUCCUUAAUUUACAUUUAGAAUGAAACUUCAUUUACCUUACAUACAGAAAUACUGGUUUGAAACACACUAUAAAAUGUCUGUGCUGAUAUUGUUCGGGGUUCACUUUGACUCAGACGAACCCAAAGUGCUUCAUGUACUUUGUCACUGCCAUGCUGGAAUAAAAUUAUUCUUCUUUGGGAUCUUCAACAUCCUCUUAAUUUUUUCUUACAACACCAAAGUAUUUGUAGAUGUCAACCAGCUCAACAUCCUGUCACAUGAUGUUUAUUGGUCUAGUUGUG